rnacentral:lncRNA from 1 species
GCUUGAGGGCCACGUGAGGGCUUUACUCUGAGGGAAAUGGGGAGCUGCCGCAGGGAUUUGAGCUCCAAAGUGACAAGAUCUGAGCCACCCUUUCCUCGCUAAAGGGCGUAAUUGCAGAAAGUGAUGGCGGAGGAGGCUGCUGCUUGAGGCCAUGAGAUUUAAGAAAAAGCCUAAUACUGGUUGCAAACCACCAAAAUGACCUCAUGUCCCACCGACAGAUCACAGUUUGCAGUUUGGAAAACACUACUCCAAGGUAGAAAUUAUGGACAUCUCCAGAACAGGGACCCAAAUGCAGUGUCUACACCGGGAACCUCACUGGCAAAGCCACAAGAAGGAUGAGGAGGAAGGAGAGAAACAUCAAAGCACCUGAAGGAAUCACCUAGGAGGAAGUUUCCAGACACUCCUUUCAGGUAGGAUUGCCAGACUAAGUACAGGAUGCUCAGUUGGAUUUGAAUUUCAGACAAUGAAGAUUUAACUGAGCGUCCUGUGUUUUUAUUUGCUGUGUCGGGCAACCCCACAUCCAGGACUGAGGUGGCAUGAAAGGGCCAGGCUGACCAGGAGGCCCAUGUAGGACUAACGGACAGCAAGAGAAGCUGAGGUCUCCAGGUACCCGGUACUGUUCGGCGGGAGGGGGGGGUGGGGCAGAAAC